rnacentral:rRNA from 1 species
UACGGGAGGCAGCAGUGGGGAAUAUUGCACAAUGGGCGCAAGCCUGAUGCAGCCAUGCCGCGUGUAUGAAGAAGGCCUUCGGGUUGUAAAGUACUUUCAGUCGUGAGGAAGGUGUUAAGGUUAAUAACCUUAGCAAUUGACGUUAGCGACAGAAGAAGCACCGGCUAACUCCGUGCCAGCAGCCGCGGUAAUACGGAGGGUGCGAGCGUUAAUCGGAAUUACUGGGCGUAAAGGGCACGCAGGCGGUUAAUUAAGUUGGAUGUGAAAUCCCCGGGCUUAACCUGGGAAUGGCAUUCAAGACUGGUUAGCUAGAGUCUUGUAGAGGGGGUAGAAUUCCAUGUGUAGCGGUGAAAUGCGUAGAGAUGUGGAGGAAUACCGGUGGCGAAGGCGGCCCCUGGACAAAGACUGACGCUCAUGUGCGAAAGCGUGGGGAGCAAACAGGGAUUAGAU